ensembl:misc_RNA
GUCCCUGGAGCCUCGCUAAUGCAAGAUCCAGAUCCAUACCCGGAGAUAAAAGUCUAGACAAUAGACGGCUGUUUAUGACAAUGAGGCUCUCCAAGUUUGGGGCCAGGCGAUAAAUCUCUGGCGAAUCUUCCUGUAACUCAACUUCUGGCUGAAGUGA